rnacentral:lncRNA from 1 species
AUCCUCAGCAAUAUCUGAGACAAACCCUAGGAACCUGAGAUCUAAAGUAUAUCUAUCACACCAAACAGUCUUCAGGUUGAACUUACUGAUUGGAGUUGUGAUCAUCAGCUGAUGGGCCGGCGAGAGAGAAGCACCCAGACACAAAGGAACCCAUUGGAACAUGUGUAACUGUAAGUCUCUAAUU